CGCUGCCAUUUUUUCAGCACAGGGAUGUGACACAUGGGCACUUUUUAAUUAGCAUAGCUCACUAACUAAUGUGCCCGGUGCCACGUCCCAAAUCACAUGAAAAAAUAUGAUUUGUGUUUGUUCCUUCUGCCUAGGAAUUUGCACCAUUGCCUGUUAAAUUCCUUCGUUUAUCUUGGUAUGUUGCCUACACAGUUCAGGCUUUUUUUUUUUUUUUUCUUGCUGCCUUUGUCGUCUGGCAAGUUGGAGAUCCUUGUAAGUGAGACUUCACCCCUAUUGGAGAGAGACAGCUGUUGGAUGUCUAUAGAGUAGGGAAUAAGGAGAGUGG